CGCGCCGGGCACGCUGGGACUGGCGGUGUGCGUCUUCGCAGACUUGGUAACGCGAGAGCGCGUGGUGAGAGUGUGUCACGUCUCUGGAGACGGGGACGGUGCGGUCCCACGAAGAAACUGAGGCAAGCGCGAAGCGUCGAGUGCGCGCGUGGCCCUGAGGGCAGGCGGAGACCCUGGUGGCUCCCAUACGCGUAACAGCACUCACUGCUCUUUGACGUUAGUGAAUAGAACGUAAGCUACUUGGAGCAGGGACCUUGUCCCAGCGUCGACCGCGGCGCCCGUCACCUCGUAGGUCUCAAUCAUUACCUGCUGAGUAGGGCGCGUGCUGGUGGGGCUUACCGAGCACCCUCGCUGGUUGAGUCAUUAAGCAAACCCGGAGGCCUGUCGUGGGUGUGGGAUCCCUUCCGUCUGAGAACGAAUGGGAUGAGUUUCUGGAGAGACUUGGCCCGAGAAGGGCCGGGGCAGCUCGGGAAGUAGUCUGCCUCACGGAAGAAUUCAGGAAGGCCUCCUGGGAGAGUACCUUUGUGCCGAGCCUUGAUGGAUUCUGGCGAGAAGGAAUGAGGGAAAAGGGUGUUCCAGGUUGAGGAGACUGUUGUGGACAAGGCAUGGCGGUGUGAUUGCCCAAGAUGAGUGGGAAAGGGGGAUAAGGGCAGAUAACCAGGUUUUGUAAAUCCUUGGCUCAGAAAGUUGGACAGGACAGGAACUCUUUUUUGGAAUACAAACCCCCUGGUGGAAAAAUCAAAGGACUACUGGAAACAGGCUGGUAACUUCAGUGAAGUGGUCUAGGUGUGACAUCACUUGAUAUCCAUCCCCCACCCAAAAGGGGAAAAAGAAGACAUUGACUGUUUAUUCAGAGUCUGAAACGCAACCCAUCUUCACUUCCAGGACCCACUGAUGAUCUCUUCUGGAGUUUUGGCCUGAAGCUAAAACUGGCAGCCCCUGGACUAAGUUCGGCAUAUAGACUAGAUUCGAUAUUUAGCCAUUAUGCACCCUGCACCAUAUUGAUGGUUACAAUGUUGAAAUAUUUCGAGGGUAAAUAGUAUCAUGGUAAUUACAAUAAAUGUUACAAUUAAUAGAAAUUUUAAUAUAAA